UGGGGAAUUUUGGACAAUGGGGGAAACCCUGAUCCAGCCAUCCCGCGUGUGCGAUGAAGGCCUUCGGGUUGUAAAGCACUUUUGGCAGGAAAGAAACGUCGCGGGUUAAUACCCCGCGGAACUGACGGUACCUGCAGAAUAAGCACCGGCUAACUACGUGCCAGCAGCCGCGGUAAUACGUAGGGUGCAAGCGUUAAUCGGAAUUACUGGGCGUAAAGCGUGCGCAGGCGGUUCGGAAAGAAAGAUGUGAAAUCCCAGAGCUUAACUUUGGAACUGCAUUUUUAACUACCGGGCUAGAGUGUGUCAGAGGGAGGUGGAAUUCCGCGUGUAGCAGUGAAAUGCGUAGAUAUGCGGAGGAACACCGAUGGCGAAGGCAGCCUCCUGGGAUAACACUGACGCUCAUGCACGAAAGCGUGGGGAGCAAACAGGAUUAGAUACCCUGGUAGUCCACGCCCUAAACGAUGUCAACUAGCUGUUGGGGUCUUCGGACCUUGGUAGCGCAGCUAACGCGUGAAGUUGACCGCCUGGGGAGUACGGUCGCAAGAUUAAAAACUUAAAUGAAUUGAC
rnacentral:rRNA from 1 species